rnacentral:rRNA from 1 species
GACGAACGCUGGCGGCGUGCUUAACACAUGCAAGUCGAACGGAAAGGCCCUGCUUUUGUGGGGUGCUCGAGUGGCGAACGGGUGAGUAACACGUGAGUAACCUGCCCUUGACUUUGGGAUAACUUCAGGAAACUGGGGCUAAUACCGGAUAGGAGCUCCUGCUGCAUGGUGGGGGUUGGAAAGUUUCGGCGGUUGGGGAUGGACUCGCGGCUUAUCAGCUUGUUGGUGGGGUAGUGGCUUACCAAGGCUUUCACGGAUAGCCGGCCUGAGAGGGUGAACGGCCACAUUAGGACUGAGAGACGGCGCAGACUGCUACGGGAGGCAGCAGUGGAGAAUAUUGCACAAUGGGACGAAGCCUGAUGCAGCAACGCCGCGUGCGGGAUGACGGCCUUCGAGUUGUAAACCGCUUUCGCAUGUGACGAAGCGUGAGUGACGGUAAUGGGUAAAGAAGCAACGGCUAACUACGUG